rnacentral:rRNA from 1 species
AUUGAACGCUGGCGGCAUGCCUUACACAUGCAAGUCGAACGGCAGCACGGGAGCAAUCCUGGUGGCGAGUGGCGAACGGGUGAGUAAUGUAUCGGAACGUACCUUUCAGUGGGGGAUAACGUAGCGAAAGUUACGCUAAUACCGCAUAUUCUGUGAGCAGGAAAGCAGGGGAUCGCAAGACCUUGCGCUGAUUGAGCGGCCGAUAUCAGAUUAGCUAGUUGGUGAGGUAAAGGCUCACCAAGGCGACGAUCUGUAGCGGGUCUGAGAGGAUGAUCCGCCACACUGGGACUGAGACACGGCCCAGACUCCUACGGGAGGCAGCAGUGGGGAAUUUUGGACAAUGGGGGAAACCCUGAUCCAGCCAUGCCGCGUGCAGGAUGAAGGCCUCGG